GACGAACGCUGGCGGCGUGCUUAACACAUGCAAGUCGAACGCAGAUGCGAACGGGUGAGUAACGCGUAGGUAACCUGCCAAUUAGACGGGGAUAACUAUUGGAAACGAUAGCUAAUACCGCAUACUAGUAGAUGGACCUGGGUUGUAUUAGCUAGUAGGUAGGGUAAUGGCCUACCUAGGCGACGCUCCCUAGCUGGUCUGAGAGGAUGACCGGCCACACUGGGACUGAGACACGGUCCAGACUCCUACGGGAGGCAGCAGUGGGGAAUAUUGCACAAUGGACGAAAGUCUGACGGAGCAACGCCGCGUGAGUGAUGACGGCCUUCGGGUUGUAAAGCUCUGUUAAUCGGGACGCGGUACCGGAAUAGAAAGCCACGGCUAACUACGUGCCAGCAGCCGCGGUAAUUC
rnacentral:rRNA from 1 species